CCUACGGGUGGCUGCAGUGGGGAAUAUUGGACAAUGGGCGAAAGCCUGACCCAGCCAUGCCGCGUGUGUGAAGAAGGCCUUCGGGUUGUAAAGCACUUUCAGUUGGGAAGAAAGCCUUGGGGCUAAUACCCUCGAGGAAGGACAUCACCCACAGAAGAAGCACCGGCUAACUCCGUGCCAGCAGCCGCGGUAAUACGGAGGGUGCGAGCGUUAAUCGGAAUUACUGGGCGUAAAGCGCGCGUAGGCGGUCUGAUAAGCCGGUUGUGAAAGCCCCGGGCUCAACCUGGGAACGGCAUCCGGAACUGUCAGGCUAGAGUGCAGGAGAGGAAGGUAGAAUUCCCGGUGUAGCGGUGAAAUGCGUAGAGAUCGGGAGGAAUACCAGUGGCGAAGGCGGCCUUCUGGACUGACACUGACGCUGAGGUGCGAAAGCGUGGGUAGCAAACAGGAUUAGAUACCCCAGUAGUC
rnacentral:rRNA from 1 species